AUACGUAGGUGGCGAGCGUUGUCCGGAAUUACUGGGCGUAAAGAGCUCGUAGGUGGUUUGUCGCGUCGUCUGUGAAAUUCCGGGGCUUAACUCCGGGCGUGCAGGCGAUACGGGCAUAACUUGAGUACUGUAGGGGAGACUGGAAUUCCUGGUGUAGCGGUGAAAUGCGCAGAUAUCAGGAGGAACACCGGUGGCGAAGGCGGGUCUCUGGGCAGUAACUGACGCUGAGGAGCGAAAGCAUGGGUAGCGAACAGGAUUAGAUACCCUGGUAGUCCAUGCCGUAAACGGUGGGCGCUAGGUGUAGGGGUCUUCCACGACUUCUGUGCCGUAGCUAACGCAUUAAGCGCCCCGCCUGGGGAGUACGGCCGCAAGGCUAAAACUCAAAGGAAUUGACGGGG
rnacentral:rRNA from 1 species